rfam:Dickeya dadantii 3937, complete genome.
ACCCUUCCGGUUGCAGCCUGAGUUAUCAGGCUGAUGGCUGGUGACUUUUUGGUCACCAGCCU